UGUUUUUGAAAUGAUUAGUUGUGCCCGAAUUGUCAAUGUAUUUUUCAAAAAUAAUCAAAGCAUAAUUAACGACAGCGGCGUCACCGAUGCGUGGCUUUGUGCCAGUUUGGUUAUUAUUAUUAGGAGCAUUGCGAUCAAAUCAAGAAUAAUUAAUGGAAUUCUCUGGUUGCACUUUACAUCAUCGCACUUUUGACUUAGUGAAGUAUGAUAUUUAUAAAUCAAAUCAACAAAGCAAAUAGUAAUAAGCGUAAUGGAUGACCUUCAUAAAAGCGCACUCCAAACUUUGAGUUUGUCACCACGCUUCAUUAAUCACAGCCGCGAUUAUUCCUCUCAAUUACGGCCCCACGUUCGCACGUCCGUGACAAACGAGAGGAGCGGAGCGGCGCGCGAGGUGAGGUGAAACCGGGUCAGCGGGUUCCGUGGACACAUUACGGUGAUAAAUGAGCCGUUUCCACCGAGACAAACCGGACGCCGGUGAUCAACGUAAACGUCUACAAUGCGCAUUGUGUGAUGGCGGACGUCUGGAUUUUAAAAUGAAAACAUGGCCAAUUUUCAAUAGCCGGAGUUGAACCCGCGGCUAAGUUUGGCCUCAAGGCCCGGAACACCCACGACUGAAUGCCAGCCAAACGCGGGUCAUACGAAAAGCAGGAGGGAGCUUGAGUACCCGGAGAAAACCCACGCAGGGACGGCGAGAGCACGCAAACGCCACACAGUGCCACGGGCAUGGUUUGGCCACUGCUGUGGGCGGCACUUCCCGUGAGGGGGCGUGGCCGGCGCCCCCUCUGGCACUCAUGGAUCAAGUACUUAAGUGGUAAAUGUGGCAUCGACAUUUGCCAGUUCGUUGCAAGUUUAGUGUAGAGCAACCCUCUGCCACCACGUUUUGUUUUUCUUUCUUUUGGACUGCUUAAACUGUGUGUGACCUUAUUUGGGAAUAAAAGCACUCUGAACAUCA